UACGGAGGGGGCAAGCGUUACUCGGAAUUAUUGGGCGUAAAGGGCGCGUAGGCGGUCUUGCGCGUCGGAGGUGAAAUCCCCGGGCUUAACCCGGGAGCUGCCUCCGAUACGGCGGGACUUGAGUCCGGGAGAGGAGAGCAGAAUUCCCAGUGUAGCGGUGAAAUGCGUAGAUAUUGGGAGGAAUACCAGUGGCGAAGGCGGCUCUCUGGACCGGUACUGACGCUGAGGCGCGAAAGCAUGGGGAGCAAAC
rnacentral:rRNA from 1 species